UUCGCCCAGCGGAAAAAGGCCACAAAAAUGGGUGGGCUAUAGCCUUGGGGGUGGGGCCGGCCAACUUUGACCGCCGGACUCGGAAUGCCGCGAGACUUUACGAGGGGCCUCCGUGUGCCAAAAAUAGGCCGCGGACAAAGCCGCGCCCAAAAAAAACCGCCCGAAGGCCGGGGCGCCGAGUUCGUCCAGCGGAAAAAGGCCACAAACACGGGUGGGCUAUAGCCUUGGGGGGUGGGGCAGGCCAACUUCGUCCGCCGGACUCGGAAUGCCGCGAGACUUUGUGAGGGGCCUCCGUGUGCCAAAAAUAGGCUGCGGGCACAGCCGCGCCCAAAAUUAACCGCCCGAAGGCCGUGUCGUCGAGUUCGUACAGCGGAGAAAGGCCACAAAAACGGGUGGGCUAUAGCCUUGGGUGGUGGGGCUGGCCCACUUCGUCCGCCGAACUCGG
rnacentral:lncRNA from 1 species